rnacentral:rRNA from 1 species
GUAGGGAAUAUUGCACAAUGGGCGAAAGCCUGAUGCAGCAACGCCGCGUGAGGGACGACGGCCUUCGGGUUGUAAACCUCUUUUAGUAGGGAAGAAGCGAAAGUGACGGUACCUGCAGAAAAAGCACCGGCUAACUACGUGCCAGCAGCCGCGGUAAUACGUAGGGUGCAAGCGUUAUCCGGAAUUAUUGGGCGUAAAGAGCUCGUAGGCGGUCUGUCGCGUCUGCUGUGAAAACUGGAGGCUCAACCUCCAGCCUACAGUGGGUACGGGCAGACUAGAGUGCGGUAGGGGAGAUUGGAAUUCCUGGUGUAGCGGUGGAAUGCGCAGAUAUCAGGAGGAACACCGAUGGCGAAGGCAGAUCUCUGGGCCGUAACUGACGCUGAGGAGCGAAAGCGUGGGGAGCGAACAGGAUUAGAUACCCGUGUAGUCC